rnacentral:rRNA from 1 species
AUUGAACGCUGGCGGAAUGCUUUACACAUGCAAGUCGAACGGCAGCACGGGGGUAACCCUGGUGGCGAGUGGCGAACGGGUGAGUAAUACAUCGGAACGUGCCCGGUCGUGGGGGAUAACGUAGCGAAAGCUACGCUAAUACUGCAUACGAUCUGAGGAUGAAAGCGGGGGAGCUUCGGGCCUCUCGCGAUCGGAGCGGCGGAAGUCAGACUCGGUAGCUGGUGGGGUAAAGGCCUACCAAGCCGGCGAUCUGCAGCUGGUCUGAGAGGACGACCAGCCACACUGGGACUGAGGCACGGCCCAGACACCUACGGGAAGCAGCAGUGGGGAAUUUUAGGCAAUGGGGGCGAGCCUGAUCCAGCCAUACCGCGUGCAGGACGAAGGCGUUCGGGUUGGAAACUGCUGUUGUAUGGAGCAAAAAGGCUCUGUCUAAUACCUGGGGCUCAUGACGGUACCGUGAGAAUAAGCACCGGCUAACUACGUG